rnacentral:misc_RNA from 1 species
AACGCACCUUGCGCUCCUUGGUAUUCCGAGGAGCAUGCCUGUUUGAGUGUCAUUAAAUUCUCAACCUUAUUAGCUUUUGCUGGUAAUGGCUUGGACUUGGGGGUUAUUUGCUGGCUUCUUCAUGAGAUCAGCUCCCCUUAAAUGCAUUAGCUGGUUGUCUUUGACUUGUCUAUUGGUGUGAUAAUUAUCUACGCCGUGGGCUUGUCUGCUUAGCACCGCUUCUAACUGUCUGUUGACUCAGACACUUUAUGACAAUUUGACCUCAAAUCAGGUAGGACUACCCGCUGAACUUAA